CUUUAGGUCUGAUGUCCAUUGCUCGUGUUUCUUGGCCCAAGCAAGUCUCUUCUUAUUAUUGGUGUCCUUUAGUAGUGGUUUCUUUGCAGCAAUUUGACCAUGAAGGCCUGAUUCAUGAAGUCUCCUCAAAACAGUUGAUGCUGAGAUGUGUCUGUUACUUGAACUCUGUGAAACAUUUCUUUAGGCUGCAAUCUGAGAUGCAGUUAACUCUAAUGAACUUAUCCUCUGCAGCAGAGGUACAUCUGGGUCUUCCUUUCCUGUGGUGGUCCUCAUGAGAGCCAGUUUCAUCAUAGCGCUUGAUGGUUUUGAGACUGCACUUGAAGAAAAUGUCCAAGUUCUUGAAAUGUUCUGCAUUGACUGGUCUUCAUGUCUUAAAGGCUGGAUCUGAUGUGGGAUGAAUCUAGAGAUCAGGAUUCUGGGUGAGUAAACAAUUAUUUAUCUUGGUGGUAGUGGUAGUGGGGGGGGGUAGUUCAGUAGUUGUACUACUUAGUGUAGUCACCUCUCCUUUUACGACUUUUGUGUAGUUAGAGAUGAGAAGAUACUGUCUGAAGGGCUGGGCAUGUGUCUCAGGUAUGAAAGACACAGGGACAGUUCAUCAUUACUACACUAGGGUUUUCACGAAACCAGCCAACAGAAUGGUGUGCAAAAUCAACAUGCACAGAACUGUUCUGUGCAUAAUUUAUCAUAUCAUCAUUCAGGGCAAGCUAGUGAUUUGAAAUCAGUACUAUAUAUGGGAACAACCAGUUCAAUGUAUUGAUGUUGCUAGGGAUGAGUGACAGACGAAACAAAUUAGGAGAAUAACUUUCAUCUGUUCUGAUAUAGCUUUGGUCGAACAGGGCAAAAAUGAUCUUCUCCAUGCUGCAAACCAUUCUGCAACUUUGAGAAGAACAUGUGCAUCAAGUACGCAAAAUGCGGGCUAGGCAUCUGGCAAAAACAACAUAUGGCAAAACGCAUGUACAUCUGGUGGACAUAUGGCAUUAGCCUCCUCUGGCCACUGUGCACAUUUGUGGUUAAAAGGCAAACAAAACAUUUUUUUCUCCUCAAACUUCUGUAUACAUUCGCAGGUGUGUCCACAAUGUUUCAGAUAGGGCUCCAUAUUUAUUUAUUAAUUGUACCUUUAUUUAACUAGGCAAGUCAGUUAAGAACAAAUUCAUAUUUUCAAUGACAGCCUAGGAACAGUGGGUUAACUGCCUGUUCAGGGGCAGAACGACAGAUUUGCACCUUGUUAGCUUGGGGAUUUGAACUUGCAACCUUCCGGUUACUAGUCCAACGCUCUAACCAGUAGGCUACCCUGCCGCCCCAUAUUAGUAAAAAAGAUAUUAGUCAUUUGUUUUGAUAUGUGUCUGAGGCUUUUGUACCUGAAACUGAAUGUAUGAUACCUAAAUAAUGUUCAAUGAAAAUUAUACUAAUAAAGUCCAUUAGAAUAAUAAUAACCCAACCAUUAGGAUUCGUCCACCAUUAGGAAUACACUUCCUCCUACCUAUAACUAUACAUGCAGUUCUACCUCUAUUUCAGAUACAGAUACAGCCACAGACUGUACAGUAAACCCAUUUAAACAGCCAUGACCGACCUAUAAACAGCAGAAACCCUCUCUCCCUGGUUGCCUGGUCCACCUGGACCCUGUUGAGUAUCACACAGGGGGCGUGUUAAGUUUGGGUCAGGACUUUAUUAACUGUAACAGAUGCCUUGGUGCUCAGUCGGCCUACCAUGGGGUGGGGGAAUUGCAUUUGCGGUAUGGCUCUGCACUGACAGAAAGGCAGACAGUUAUGAUAAGAGAGUGGCAGAGCAGAAUCCAUUUAGCCCCAGUCAGACCUCCCCAGAGGGGGAGAGGAGAGGGGAGACCCAGCCAGGAAAGUGGGAGUCUCACUGUGG
ensembl:lncRNA